GGGGAAUUUUGGACAAUGGGGGAAACCCUGAUCCAGCCAUCCCGCGUGUAUGAUGAAGGCCUUCGGGUUGUAAAGUACUUUUGGCAGAGAAGAAAAGGUACCUCCUAAUACGAGGUACUGCUGACGGUAUCUGCAGAAUAAGCACCGGCUAACUACGUGCCAGCAGCCGCGGUAAUACGUAGGGUGCAAGCGUUAAUCGGAAUUACUGGGCGUAAAGCGUGUGUAGGCGGUUCGGAAAGAAAGAUGUGAAAUCCCAGGGCUCAACCUUGGAACUGCAUUUUUAACUGCCGAGCUAGAGUAUGUCAGAGGGGGGUAGAAUUCCACGUGUAGCAGUGAAAUGCGUAGAUAUGUGGAGGAAUACCGAUGGCGAAGGCAGCCCCCUGGGAUAAUACUGACGCUCAGACACGAAAGCGUGGGGAGCAAAC
rnacentral:rRNA from 1 species